AAUAUUGGGCAAUGGGCGGAAGCCUGACCCAGCCACGCCGCGUGAGUGAUGAAGGCCUUCGGGUCGUAAAGCUCUGUGGGGAGGGACGAAUAAGUGCCGUGCUAACACCACGGUGCCCUGACGGUACCUCCUUAGCAAGCACCGGCUAACCCUGUGCCAGCAGCCGCGGUAAUACAGGGGGUGCAAACGUUGCUCGGAAUUAUUGGGCGUAAAGCGCGCGUAGGCGGCUACUUAAGUCGGAUGUGAAAGCCCCUGGCUCAACCGGGGAAGUGCACCCGAAACUGAGUAGCUAGAGUACGAAAGAGGGUCGCGGAAUUCCCGGUGUAGAGGUGAAAUUCGUAGAUAUCGGGAGGAACACCGGUGGCGAAGGCGGCGACCUGGGUCGAUACUGACGCUGAGGCGCGAAAGCGUGGGGAGCAAAC
rnacentral:rRNA from 1 species